rnacentral:lncRNA from 1 species
GAAAAUAUUUGCCACCUGCUCCACAGUUAUGACAUUAAUAUCCAAAUAUACAAAGAACACCAUAAAACAAAACAAAAUUAGAUAAAACAACCAAAUAACCUGAAAAAUAAAUGGCCAAAAGAACUAAACAGACACUUCACAAAAGAAGACUUACAAAUGACCAAUAAAAACAUGAAAAAUUAUCCAAUGUGUCUAGCCAUCAGAAAUGCAAAUCAAAACUACAUUGAGACUUCAUUUCACUUCAAUCAGAAUAACAAUUAUCAAGAAUACAAAUAAUAAUAAAUUUUGUUGAAGAUGUGGGGGAAAAAAGGUAUAUUCUCACAUUAUUGGUGGGAGAGCAAAUUAGUACAAGCACUCUGGAAAGUGGUAUAGAGAUUCCCCCUAAAACGAGGAAUAGAACCACCUUCUGACCCAGCUAUCCCAUUUCUUGAUAUUUAGCCAAAAGAACUAAAAUCUGCAUACUCUAAAGAUGCAGCCACAUCAAUGUUUAUAGCAGUAGAAUUCACAGUAUCUAAGCUAUGGAACCAGUGUAGGUAUCCAUCAAUACACGAAUAAAUGAAGAAAAUGUGGUAUAUAUACACAAUGGAGUUUUACUUAGCUGUAAAGAAGAAUGAAAUUAUGGUGUUUGCCAGUAAAUGGAUGGAACUGGAGUUCAGUUCCAUUCAUUUAAGUGAAACAAGCUAAACCCAGAAAAUCAAGGGUCAACUGUUUUCUCUCAUAUGUGUAAGCCAGCUCAAAAUCAGAAAGGAAAAAAGAAAAAGAAAAAAAAAUGUGUGUGAUGUGUAUGUGGGGGAAAUCCCAUGGAAAUAGAAGAGAGAUCAGUUCAUUAGAGGAAAGGGAUUGAGGGGAGAGGAAGAAGAAACAGGAAAAGAGAAGAAUGGAAGAAUUAAUCUGAUCAAACAUUCCUAUGUACAUAUAUGAAUAUACCACAGUCAAUUUCAACUUCAUGUCUAUACAUAUGCACUAAUAAAAAAAUUACAAAUAGAAGAAAGAUCAGUAGAGCAGAGGAAGGGAACUGAGGGAUGGAGAAAGGAGAAGCACUGGGGAUUGAAGUGCAGCAAAUAAUUUACAUGCUUCUAUAAAUAUGUCAAAAUGAAUCUCAAUUUCAUGUAUAUGUAUAAUUAAUUAAUAAAAAAGCAGUAUUAUUCAAGAGACACUUUUACACACUGUUAAAGACUUUGCAUAAUUUAAUGGACCUUUCCUAUCUCAUUUCUUUUGCAAUGCGACUCACAUUCAAUUUUUUUCAUUUCAAAUCAAAAUUUGAAUUUUAUACAUAACCCCCAAAAUACAGAGGGAAGUUUCCCUCAGAUCUAUACAAUAUGUUAGUUCCUGGGUAUUUUCAUAAAUGGUAUUAGAUAGUAUUAUGACACCUAGGAAUUCUAUGUAGGGAGCAUGAGGGAAGAUAUUGAAAUUGUAGAGGCAUAGCAUUAACCCUCAACCUCUGAUUUUUUUAUAAUGUUAGUAGAGUGAAAGUAUAAUUCAUUUAAAUAUGAUUUGUACUACAAUAUGGAGAUAAGGACAUACAGAAAACACUGUAAGAAAAUGUCAUGUGCCAGGCAAGCCAGGUUAGAGGGAGGGACAUUCUUCCCUGAAUGAGGAGAUGUGAGUCAGGAUGGCACUGAAAGAAAGGGAUAUUUCAUAUACCUGAACUACAAUGGCCUUGGCAUUGUCACCAACCUCACACCAGGCCCAUUCACUCAUGCACAUUUGAAAGCUGAAUGUGAUUACUGUUAAUAAUAUCUGUAGCCAGCAGUGUGCUAGGUAUGAAGGAGGCACAGAUAAAAGGCAGUUCACAAUGUCAUCAGGAGAUGGUAAGCAAACAUUGAUAUCACAGUAAGAAAAAAAAGAGAGCACAGUUUGCCUCUUAUAACCCAAAUAAAAGCAAGGCAAAAGCCAGUGAGUCUACAGUGAAUUUUUUUUUUCAUCUUGUUUACAUUUUAUUUCUCAGUUCAUUCAUCAUUGCCUGAUUUUCCCCUCCCCAAUCUGUCUUCUUUAUCCAGAAAAAACAAACAAACAACAACAACAAAAACAGUGUAAGUGUCAAUUGUACUGAUUUCCAGUUCAUUUUGCUUCCACAACACUAGAUAAUGGGUCCCUAGAAAUUUCCUUUUAAAGUGUUUUAGUCUUAUAAGUGUAUUAUAGCAAAAUACACCAAGUGAAGAAAUUAAAGCAAUUUUCAAGUCAUCUAGCUUUCCUUUUUACUUACCUUCACUCCAGACUUUCAUGAUUUAUGUCAAAUCCACGUCCAGAGGCUGUGAACAAAAAUGACAAGUUAGUAAAUGCAGUGAAAAUGUGCAAGGUUAUUUUAUAAAGCAAUGAAUUGUCUCACCCCAGAAGUAACUAAGCAUUUGGACCACAGGAUAAUGUGGCAAAUGGACUGCAAGCUUAAAGCAAGGAUGGAGAGUUCUUUUCCACUUGUGCAUCUGGCACUAGUCUGAGGGAAUCAACUCUCCAUCAUUGUGUGGGUUGUUCUACCUGUUUCUCAGGAAAAGGUAAGUAAGGAAGGAAAAAUGUUAGAGUCAUGUUGUGCACAUCUCUGGUCUCCAUCACUUAAUAGUGUACUAUGAAUAAGAGCAUCAGGAAGCAAGUGAGCAGGGGGAGCAAUAAGUCUGCUUGAAAUCAACCUUUCACUUAAUCAGAAAGAUUUGGAUGGGAUGAGAAGCAAAUCAGACCUUCCUGCAAAGAGUAGCCUCAUUCUUCAGGUUCCUCAGUUGCUAACUCUGUUGGAGAGCGUUUGGGGAAUUUUAAGAAUUGUAGGACUGAAUAAGGAAGAGGAAUAUUGAUAAUCUAAGCAAUUAAUGAUAAUCAGGGAUACAUAAUGACAAUAAUGUUUAUACCUCCAGUUCUUCCUGCAAAUAUUUGGGGAUUGAAGAAGUACCCAUAACUGACAUAAUUUCAAUGUUCAGAAAAAAAAAUAUUUAUAAAACACAAUUGACAAUUUUUUACUGAAAUGUUACCACAUGAAUAUAUUGGCUAUCAAAACAAAUAUUAUGUUAAUGAAAAUCAAGCUCUCUUCCAUACUAAUAUUAUAUAAUUAUAUAAUAAAUGUCUUUAUAGGAUAUUAUAGGUCUAUAGAUAGAUAUGUAGACAGAUAAAGACAUAUAGUUUUAAAAUUUAAUUAUUUAAAAUGCAAAAUUUGGAUUUCACCUACGUAGUAUUCUGUACCAUGAAUAUAUUAAAAUGUACUUAACCAUUUUCCCAAUUGGUAUAAAGUUGGAUCCUUUUCUUCCCCUCUCCUUUUUGAGGUGAUAGAAAUCAAAAUCAGGGCCUUGCAUGUGCUUGGUAUAUGUUCUGCCUCUAAGCUACACAUCCCAGCCCUCAUUGAAUGUGGGAAGCCUUUCUCACACGUGAUUGGGAACCUCCCUGAUUGGGUGUGAGGCGUUCCGGCCAGCUGUGUCAGAAUUUAUCCCCACUCUCUUUAGGUGCGAGAGCCCAUCCUUGUGGGGGUGUGACUGACCAUUGACCCUGAGACUAAUCACUGACCCUGAUCUUGGAAUGCUGUCCCCCUCGACCUUCAUUGGAUGGAAUUUUCCUCCUGAAUUUCUUGUUCCCCAAUAAAAGCCCACUCUCUGGAGUGUUCUUCCUCUCUCCUGCUAGUCUCUUGUAUAAACUUCGCUAACCCACCAGGUGGCUCGAGGCAGGAGCCAGGAAGGACCAUCUCUGAACUGGGCAAGAAAAAAGUAAGUUGAGUUUAUGUGUCUUUAUUUUGAUCUCACUAGUUAACUUCUAUACUUAGGACCCCGGGGCAGAAUUGGACACUUUUUGUCUUCUUCUUUUUAAACAAUUAUAAUGUCUCUCUAUUUCUCUAUUUUUUUUUUAAUCUUUAUUGUUCUCUGAAUGGGAUAACCUUACGUAACAUUCUCUAGAUGGCGAUUUGUCCUUAGAGUCCAGUGAUGGAGCAAACCUAGCAAUUUCUUUAGAAGUUUAGUUUUGGAGAGCAGAGCAUGUGACUGCAUUGUUUGAAAAAGGGAUGAACAUCAGCUCUGCCUUAAACCUUUGCUCUGAUACAGAAGCUCUGUGUAACAGUUGCAUGUUAUACAGUGGGGUAAAUAUUGGUCAUAUUCUUCUCAUG